UCGAGAAUCUUCGGCAAUGGGGGAAACCCUGACCGAGCGACGCCGCGUGCGGGAUGAAGGCCCUCGGGUUGUAAACCGCUGUCGUAAGGGAACAAAUUUACGGGGGUUCUCCCCUGUAAUUGAGUGAUCUUAGGAGGAAGGACGGGCUAAGUUCGUGCCAGCAGCCGCGGUAAGACGAACCGUCCGAACGUUAUUCGGUAUCACUGGGCUUAAAGAGUUCGUAGGCGGCCCGACAGGUGAGGUGUGAAAUCCCUCGGCUCAACCGAGGAAUUGCGCUUCAAACCGUCAGGCUUGAGGGAGAUAGAGGUGAGCGGAACAGAUGGUGGAGCGGUGAAAUGCGUUGAUAUCAUCUGGAACACCGGUGGCGAAAGCGGCUCACUGGAUCUUUUCUGACGCUGAGGAACGAAAGCUAGGGUAGCGAACGG
rnacentral:rRNA from 1 species